rnacentral:rRNA from 1 species
AACGAACGCUGGCGGCAGGCUUAACACAUGCAAGUCGAACGCCCCGCAAGGGGAGUGGCAGACGGGUGAGUAACGCGUGGGAACAUACCCUUUUCUACGGAAUAGCUCUGGGAAACUGGAAUUAAUACCGUAUACGCCCUACGGGGGAAAGAUUUAUCGGGGAAGGAUUGGCCCGCGUUGGAUUAGCUAGUUGGUGGGGUAAAGGCCUACCAAGGCGACGAUCCAUAGCUGGUCUGAGAGGAUGAUCAGCCACAUUGGGACUGAGACACGGCCCAAACUCCUACGGGAGGCAGCAGUGGGGAAUAUUGGACAAUGGGCGCUAGCCUGAUCCAGCCAUGCCGCGUGAGUGAUGAAGGCCUUAGGGUUGUAAAGCUCUUUCACCGAUGAAGAUAAUGACGGUAGUCGGAGAAGAAGCCCCGGCUAACUUCGUG